rnacentral:lncRNA from 1 species
GGAACUUAAAGCUCUCAACCUGCUCCACUACAGCCCUGUCGAUGAGAAUGGGGGCAUGCUCGGUCCUCCUUUUCCUGUAGUCCACAAUCAUCACCUUUGUCUUGAUCAUGUUGAGGGAAAGGUUGUCCUUGCACCACAUGGUCAGGUCUCUGACCUCCUCCCUAUAGGCUGUCUCAUCGUUGUUGGUGAUCAGGCCUACCACUGCUGUGUCAUCAGCAAACUUAAUGAUGCUGUUGGAGUCGUGCCUGGCCGUGCAGUCAUGAGUGAACAGGGUGUACAGGAGGGGACUGAGCAUGCACCCCUGAGGAGCCCCAGUGUUGAGGAUCAGCAUGGCGGAUGUGUUGUUACCUACCCUUACCACCUGGGGGCGGCCCGUCAGGAAGUCCAGACUCAGACAGGGAGAGGUUGAAAAUGUCAGUGAAGACACUUGCCAGUUGGUCAGUGCAUGCUCGGAGUACACGUCCUGGUAAUCCGUCUGGUCCUGCGGCCAUGUGAAUGUUGCCCUGUUUAACCUCACUAGGGUAGGGGGCAGCAUUCGGAAUUUUGGAUGAAAAGCGUGCCCAAAGUAAACUGCCUGCUACUCAGGUCCAGAAGCUAGGAUAUGCAUGUAAUUGGUCAUAAAUUCCAUGAGGAGACUAUCUUCCCCCCCGGCCAUGCGGUAUAGAGAGAGAGGCUUCACAGUAGAACACAGGAACUUCUACCUCACAGAACUUGAGAACUGAACAAUAUCCAUGUUUUGGAGAAUGUGUAAACAGUCAGUGGAGAAUCCAGCUGCGACCGGUCCAUUUUGUUUAAUGUUUGUGACCUCAUGAGAGACAAUACAGCCACAUUACCAUAACUCUGUUUAUACAAGAGUCUCCGUUAUGAGAUUUGCAUCUAAUUAUUGUAUACAAUGAAUGAGUAAAGAUGAAACUAUUUGUGAAAUUGUGUAAUGUGAUUUUAAACUGUUUAAUGAAAGAGAAUCCAAUUCCCUUUAAAGUUUAAUUAAGCCCUUGGCCCGCCCCAUGAGCACAGACAUUGAUCUGGCAUCAUGGGACAGCCUUUUCUGCUGUUCCAAAUAUAACCCCCACCUGGAGAUGUCCACUUCAGACCAUGCAUACCUCGAUUACCGAGAGGCCUAAGGUUUGAGUAGAGACCAUGCAUUCCUCGGUCAUCUGAGGGAGCUAAGGUUGUAACAUUUGUUGAAUUCCUAACCAAACCACGUGGAGCACUGGCUACACUGAUGGAAAUGGUUAAAGUCUGAGACUAUCGAUACCGACAGAAUAAGAGCAAAUCUUCGAGACUAAUUACUAGUCUGCAGCUAGAAUUUAUGUCGACCUGGAAUGAGAAGACCGACAACCGCCGAAACAUCUAUUCUACAAGAACAUUUCUGAAUGGGACUCUGAAGUAUCCAUUCUAACCACAAAAGACUCCAGGGACGCAAAGAGAAGUUCAGAGGAACUUUUCAACAGAAAGACUGACGAUUCCAACAGAGAUCACGACGACACACUGAGCGUAAAUAUAUAUUUUGAUUGCAAUUAUUGAGUGAGCGUUCAUGUGCAAAGGAUUAGUAUUUCUAUCAAUAUAAUUAUCAACUGUGUAGUGUCUUUUGUCUUUCGCACCCUUCUCAGUCCCUUUGUCUACCAAGCCACCAUAUCGGUUUAGCCCACUAGGGCACAUCCCCUAUCAUUUCCUUGUAACCAUAUCUGCU